AUGCUUGCUUUGGCAGCACAUUUACUAAAACUGGAAUGAUACAGAGAAGAUUAGCGUGGUCCCUGUACAAGGAUGACAUGCAAAUUCAUGAAGUGUUCCAUAUUUAA
ensembl:snRNA U6 U6 spliceosomal RNA